GCAUCCUGAAAUGUGUGCCAUGGGCGACGGAGCUGGGGAGUGGGGCGGCGGGAGGCCUCCGCCAAUUGAGGUGACUCGGCCAGGCCUUUCUAAGGCUCUGGACUCCGGUUCUCCUGAACCCAUUACCGCCACCCCGGUUCCGAGGGGACACUGCCAGGGAAACACCAGACGUCUCGCUGGAACGCGUGCAGCCCGGAGAAACCAAGUGGGGGGGUGGGCUGAGGCAUCCUGGCCCCUCCCACAGCCUGUACAGCUCCAGCCUGGGCAGAAACACUGGGCCCGGGGGGCCUCUGACCUGGGCCGAGGCCCGGGUGAGCUCUCUUGACCCCCAGCCCAGACGGGCUUCCUGGCCCCGCAGAGCCCUUCGGCCCUGCCUGCCACUGCCCCUCACUCUGCUCUGGUGGGGGUGGGCGGGAGGACCACUGUGCACUGGGAUGCGUGGUGAGACUGAGCCGGGAGGCCAGAGUCAGCCCAGGUGUCCAGGUCCCGUUGGACCUCACCCCCUUUCCCCUGUCCACCCCCAAACGCCACUUUAGGGUCUCUGGAUCUACUCCCAGGCAGGCUGAGAAAGGGUCUUGCUCUCAGCGGCGGCCAGGAGGGACCCCUGCCUGAGCUGCCGUCCUGGAGGGAGACCCUAGGGAGGUCUCUCAGACUGGUACCUGCAGGCACCCCUUUGAGGGAGCCAUGGAGUCUGGAAAUCCCACACAGAUUCUAACCUGUCCCACUAGUGUUUUGUACGAAAAUAAACACGUGUCCUCCGGCACCGAAUUCGGAUUUUCCAUUAAAUCCAGUUUAAAAGACAAGAAUGUUGACGAAAAUCUGAAUCUAGGGAGGGCUGUUUGGGGUUGCGCCCCCAGAUCCAGGUCAAGGGCACACCGUUCGUGUCCUCUGGGUUUAAGGGCGUACCCACAGAAAGGCCCCAAAAUGUCCAUCAGCCACUAACACCGCAGUGAGAGUGAGUAAGAGUGGAUUUGCCAGGAGUUUGGAGGCCGUAGCACCAGGUCACCGACAGCUGCAGGGGGAGGCAGGGCUGCGACAUCCCAGCCCCACGGGGGGCUCUCCGGAGUGGGGUGCAGGGCGAGGCGGGCGGCUGUGCGAGCCUCCUCCAGCUUAGCAUUUCCAUCUUUCCUGGAGCCCUCCCCAGGUCCCCAGGAUCCCCAGGAUCGCCAGGCCCUGCCCACUGAGCCCCAGAGCCUACCUCAGAUGACCAGGGGGUGUUCAGGGGUUGUUCCUGAAAGGGCCGCGAAUCGGUUUUCUGCACAAGAGCUCACCGGAGAGGCAGAGCUGGCCCUGCGCUUGAGAGUUACGCUGGAAAGAGGCUGACGGGACUAGGUUCGAAUCCUGCCACCGCAGACUGGCCAUGUGAUCCUGAGAGCCGCCGCUCUGUGCCGAGAUGUCAAGUCUGGAACUGGAGCAGCCAUUUUGUGCCCAUGAGGGAGAGCUGGAUUUGGAACGAGGCCAACUAUGCAGAAGGCACACAGAGAUGGAAAGAAGUUCACGGCAUCACUGAGCCAUGGAUCAGACCAGCUCUGAGAAACACACACACACCCCCACCUGCCGUGUCUCAGGGACUCCCAGUACCUUCUGCCGUCAGCCCUGUUUCAGCUAAGGCAGUUUGGUCUGGCCCCUGUGCUCCUCGUGGACACCCUCCCCUUGUGCGCAGCUGGAGCUGGGUUCCGUCUCUGCCCUUAUUUUCUGGGACGCUUCGGGCAUCAGAGCAGCAGCCCAGCCGGCCCGCUGCUCCGCGCGCCAGCCAGCCGGCACUCGGGGCCAAGCUCCCAAAGACCCCGGAAGGGGCCCCUGCCCAGAAGCAAGCCGUUCCCACGUGGGUAACCUGAUGUGGCUGCCCGACUGUCGUCACACUGCUCAGUAAAGGACACGGCGGGUCAGGGACGCGGUGGCUCCCCUGCCUUCGGGGUCCUCGGCAUUUUCUCUGUGAGUAUUCCCUCCUCACCAACCCUCCAGAAUACACAGACUGAGACCUCCACCCCUGGGAGGCGGCGAGGAAGCUCCAGGCUGGAGGUUUAUGGACAGAUUGGCCGGCCCCACCAGCAGGCCCGAGACCUGCUGACUCCAUGCCAUCAGUUAACGAGAGCCCUGGGGUUUUCCUUACACAGCAGCUCGAGGUAAUCACCGAGCCCGGAGUGCCCGGCACGCCGGCCCGUGUCCUCCUGUGCUUUGCAAAUACCCUGAAAUGCACGUCAUGAUUCUGGAAGCUUCAGGGACGGCUGGGCAGCUCAGUCGGUUAAGAUCACGGUUGGUGCGUUCGAGCCCUGGGGUCGGGCUCUGUGCUGACAGUUGAGAGCCCGCUUGGGAUUCUCUCUCUCCCCCUCUCUCUGCCCCUCCCUGCUUGCUCUCUCUGUCUCUCUCAAAAUAAAAACUAAACUAAACGCAAGAAGAUUCCGAAAGCUUUGGCCAGCCUGCAAUUUCAAGUAGCCCUUACGAACAGUCCAGACAGCCUCCCCGUAUCAAACGAGAUUAAUCAGUAACGAGCUGUAAUGUUAUGAGGUCAUCUCCCGACACACGGUAACUCGGGGGCAAACCUACCUGAUUGGCCAGCACGCAGAGCCUUGGGAGCUCUCCCACACUUAUCUGUGCCGCGAGCCUUACUCGAGAUGUUUGUCUUGCUUGAGUUACGUGUGGGCGUUGUUUCACUGCGCACGUCCCGGUCGACCUGGCGGGCGUAUCUCGUGGGGCACAUGCCACGCACACGGCCACCUCAGGCCAAGACCACGAGGAGAGGUGUGGUUCCCGUAAAGGGGAGGCCCUCGCGUGCGAUGUGGCCAGACUGAGUCUUUGUGACGUCCCCCGAAUCUCAUCGUCCACAGAACCUGCUUUCGGCGGACCUCGUCGCCCUCGUGCUGGCCUGGCCCGCGUCCCUGCCGGCCUGCGCGCCCGGCCCCCCACCCUGCCCUGGCGGCUGACCUCCACGGCCGCACGGUGAGGCCGCCUGCGCUCCUCCAAGACGACACCACGGCCCCCCGCCCCGUGUCUCUCCCUGCAGGACCCUAGGGAGGUGUGGGUCUCCUACCGACAAGCUGGCCCUCCCUCCAUUCCCGGCGGACAGAAUCCGCCCGCGGUCGUGGAGGGACCGUGCUGCUUUCCGCCACGGAGUUGUGGGGCGCCCUCGCACACGGCAGCAAGACCACAGGCUUCCCCCACCGGCUCAGCUCACCUCCACGCGCCCUGCACGGUGCCCCAGUGCUGCAGGCUGCGAGCUGACUGCCAGGGUGGAUGAACGCGUGACUGUGACAGACGAGGGGCCUGGGGAACGUGGACCCGUGAGAACCUCCAGAAGGGGGAAGCGACGGGCUGCAGGGCUCUGGGGUCUCAGUGGGUACGGGCGUCCCUGCUCCGACGGCCAAGGAAAGAGGACUCUGCCCACACCGGGACUGUCCAGGCACUGACGUGGGAGGGAGGCCAGAGCCUGGUCAAGCCCAGUGCCCAGCGCCCAGCCGUGGACCCUGCCACGGAGGAGGGUCACCCACAGGGGAGGGCGGAAGGGAUACCAGUCGCCCCAGGCACCGUUCCCAGCAGGCAGCACAAAGUGGCUGGUCCGACCUCAGACGGCCCUGAGGUGGGGAGCAGCUCAGGGGUGAUGCAGUCGGGCACAGAGAACAGAAGGCCUGGCAGGCCCCCCGCUGCCACGUGUCGGAGCCAGGAAGGGGC